GAGGAAAAGAAACUAACAAGGAUUCCCCUAGUAGCGGCGAGCGAAGCGGGAAGAGCUCAAAUUUAUAAUCUGGCACCUUCGGUGUCCGAGUUGUAAUCUCUAGAAAUGUUUUCCGCGUUGGACCGCACACAAGUCUGUUGGAAUACAGCGGCAUAGUGGUGAGACCCCCGUAUAUGGUGCGGACGCCCAGCGCUUUGUGAUACAUUUUCGAAGAGUCGAGUUGUUUGGGAAUGCAGCUCAAAUUGGGUGGUAAAUUCCAUCUAAAGCUAAAUAUUGGCGAGAGACCGAUAGCGAACAAGUACCGUGAGGGAAAGAUGAAAAGCACUUUGGAAAGAGAGUUAACAGUACGUGAAAUUGUUGGAAGGGAAACGCUUGAAGUCAGACUUGCUUGCCGAGCAAUCGGUUUGCAGGCCAGCAUCAGUUUUCCGGGAUGGAUAAUGGUAGAGAGAAGGUAGCAGUUUCGGCUGUGUUAUAGCUCUCUGCUGGAUACAUCUUGGGGGACUGAGGAACGCAGUGUGCCUUUGGCGGGGGUUUCGACCUCUUCACACUUAGGAUGCUGGUGGAAUGGCUUUAAACGACCCGUCUUAAANNACGGGACAC
rnacentral:rRNA from 1 species